GAACGCUGGCGGCAGGCCUAACACAUGCAAGUCGAGCGGUAACAGAUCCAGCUUGCUGGAUGCUGACGAGCGGCGGACGGGUGAGUAAUGCAUAGGAAUCUGCCCGGUAGUGGGGGAUAACCUGGGGAAACCCAGGCUAAUACCGCAUACGUCCUACGGGAGAAAGGGGGCUUCGGCUCCCGCUAUCGGAUGAGCCUAUGUCGGAUUAGCUAGUUGGUGAGGUAACGGCUCACCAAGGCCACGAUCCGUAGCUGGUCUGAGAGGAUGAUCAGCCACAUCGGGACUGAGACACGGCCCGAACUCCUACGGGAGGCAGCAGUGGGGAAUAUUGGACAAUGGGGGGAACCCUGAUCCAGCCAUGCCGCGUGUGUGAAGAAGGCCCUCGGGUUGUAAAGCACUUUCAGCGAGGAAGAACGCCUAGCGGUUAAUACCCGCUAGGAAAGACAUCACUCGCAGAAGAAGCACCGGCUAACUCCGUGCCAGCAGCCGCGGUAAUACGGAGGGUGCAAGCGUUAAUCGGAAUUACUGGGCGUAAAGCGCGCGUAGGUGGCUUGAUAAGCCGGUUGUGAAAGCCCCGGGCUCAACCUGGGAACGGCAUCCGGAACUGUCAAGCUAGAGUGCAG
rnacentral:rRNA from 1 species